UGGGGGAUAUUGCACAAUGGGCGAAAGCCUGAUGCAGCGACGCCGCGUGGGGGAUGAAGGCCUUCGGGUUGUAAACUUCUUUUGCUCUGAACAAGGCGCACCAUGGGGUGUGUUGAGUGUAGGGGUUGAUUAGCGCCGGCUAACUACGUGCCAGCAGCCGCGGUAAUACGUAGGGCGCGAGCGUUGUCCGGAAUUAUUGGGCGUAAAGGGCUUGUAGGUGGCUGGUUGCGUCUGUCGUGAAAGCUCAUGGCUUAACUGUGGGUUUGCGGUGGGUACGGGCUGGCUUGAGUGCAGUAGGGGAGGCUGGAAUUCCUGGUGUAGCGGUGGAAUGCGCAGAUAUCAGGAGGAAUACCGGUGGCGAAGGCGGCUCUCUGGGCUGUUACUGACACUGAGGAGCGAAAGCAUGGGGAGCGAACAGG
rnacentral:rRNA from 1 species